AGGACGAACGCUGGCGGCGUGCUUAACACAUGCAAGUCGAGCGGAAAGGCCCUUCGGGGUACUCGAGCGGCGAACGGGUGAGUAACACGUGGGCAGCCUGCCCCUAGCUCUGGGAUAACUCCGGGAAACCGGUGCUAAUACCGGAUAUGACCUCAUUAGGCAUCCUUUGAGGUGGAAAGAUUUAUUGGCUAGGGAUGGGCCCGCGGCCUAUCAGCUUGUUGGUGGGGUAAUGGCCUACCAAGGCGACGACGGGUA
rnacentral:rRNA from 1 species